CGAGGCUACCGACUUGAGCAAACAAGAAACGGGUCUAGACGCUUCAAGCGACUCUAACAGUGAAUGAGAACAAGUUACAGUUCAUAAGCGACUCAUUCGUUUGUCUUUUGCACUUUCCUCCGUGUUUCUUUCUACAAAUGGAGGCCAUACUACAGUACAAAGGGCUUCCGUGAUGCGAAAACACACGGAAACGUGCGUCACCGUACAUAAUCACGUGACACAAAGUGUCUUCAUUCUACAGCCGAACCAUCGUCAUCUAGGUGUGCUUUUCGUUGUCGAUUGAAGCAACAGUUGAGGAUGAGACUACGGAUUUCAUACAGUGUGGAUGGAUCCCCUGUGACCGAACAAGGUGAGAUUGGCGAAUUUUUCCCCAGCAGUUUCUUAGUAAUGUGAGUAAGGGUGACUGUUAGUUUGCGCUGCUAGUCGAUCAUCUUGCUUGUUGUGUGACUGUUGUUAUGUUUGGGGUUCAAUUUGUUGUAGA